rnacentral:rRNA from 1 species
UACGAGGGGGGCGAGCGUUGUUCGGAAUUAUUGGGCGUAAAGGGUGCGUAGGCGGUUUGGUAAGUCUUAUGUGAAAUCUACAGGCUCAACUUGUAGUCUGCAUGAGAAACUGCCGGGCUUGAGUAUGGGAGAGGUGAGUGGAAUUCCUGGUGUAGCGGUGAAAUGCGUAGAUAUCAGGAGGAACACCUGUGGCGAAAGCGGCUCACUGGACCAUUACUGACGCUGAUGCACGAAAGCUAGGGGAGCAAACAGG